rnacentral:lncRNA from 1 species
CACAGGUGAGAGAGUUUGAGUGCACAGGUGUGCGUGCGUGUGAGCGUGCGUGCGUGCGUGCGAGAAGGUCAGAGUGCGCCGCGUGUCCGUGAGUGAAAGUGCGCGUUUUUGUGUUCAGAUGGAGGACGCCCCCAGCUCCCAGAAGAGCGGGCGACUUUCUUCCUCUCACGACUUGGGGAGAGGAGGAGGAGGACCGUUUCCGACGUGGACAGGUUUCGGCGUCUUAGGGGUCCAGGUAAAGGCGAUUCAAUUAUGGGAUAUGAGGCUGGUCAGGAAGCAUGAGAGCCUGCACCAUCCUGCAGGCCACAGAGACCUUCGGUGGACAGUUCUGAAUGGGAUAAAGCCUGCAGGCCAGUACUCCCAUGAGAGCUCUUCUCCCACAGGCUGACAUCAGGCUGCCACAGCCACCAGAUCCCCAAGUGGCUUCCUGGAUGAGAGAGAGUUGGAGACCAGGUGGGCUGCCCAGAGGCCAGAGCUGGACUUGAACUGAGGGCCUGCGUGGCCUGAACAAGCGGUGACCAGGACUAUAAUCCAGGGCACCCAUGGAGGCUUUCAAGGUUGGCCAGAUUCUCUGCAAACUCAGAUCCAGUCCUGGGCUGGGCCAGUUCUUGAGUGUGAACUCCUGAGAUCCAGCCUAGCACUGUUCUGGGAGUAGCAGCAGUUGUCACCUUCUCCAAAUCCACUGGCCUUUUAAAAAAUAGUUGGAAUUAAGUGAAUCGACUGACAAGGGAUUAAUCUCCAAAAUUUAUAAACAACUUCUGCAGCUCCAUACCAAAAAAAACCAAACAACCCCAUCCAAAAAUUGGCAGAAGAUCUAAACAGACAGUUCUCCAAAGAAGACAUACAGAUGGCUGAGAAACACAUGAAAAGAUGUUCAACAUCACUCAUUAUUAGAGAGAUGCAAAUCAAAACCACUAUGAGGUACCACCUUAUACCAGCCAGAAUGGCCAUCAUCCAAAAGUCUACAAACAAGAAGUGCUGGAGAGGGUGUGGAGAAAAAGGAACCCUAUGACACUGUUGGUGGGAUUGUAAAUUGGUGCAACCACUGUGGAAAGCAGUAUGGAGAUUCCUCAGAAAACUAAACAUAGAACUACCAUUUGAUCCAGCAAUCCCACUCCUGGGCAUCUACCCAGAGAAAACCACGACUCGAAAAGACACAUGUACUCCGAUGUUCAUUGACGCACUCUUUGCAAUAGCCAAGACAUGGAAACAACCUAAAUGUCCAUCGACAGAGGAGUGGAUCCAGAAGAUGUGGUACAUAUACACAAUGGAAUAUUACUCAGCCGUUAAAAAGAACGAAAUACCAGCAUUUUUUGCAAGAUGGAUGGACCUAGAAACUAUCAUGCUAAGUGAAGUCAGCCAUACAAUGAGACACCAACAUCAAAUGC